rnacentral:rRNA from 1 species
AUACGGAGGUGGCGAGCGUUACUCGGUAUGACUGGGUGUAAAGGGUCCGUAGGCGGCCUUGUAAGUGAAAGGUGAAAUCUUUCGGCUCAACCGAAAAACUGCCUUUCAAACUAUUUGGCUUGAGGAUGAAAGAGGAGAGUGGAACUGUUGGUGUAAAGGUGAAAUUUGUGGAUAUCAACAGGAACGCCUGUGGGGAAGCCGACUCUCUGGUUCAUUCCUGACGCUGAGGGACGAAAGCUAGGGGAGCGAACAGGAUUAGAUACCCUGGUAGUCCUAGCUGUAAACGAUGGGCACUAGGUGUCUGCUCUUUUAGAGUAGGUGCCGCAGUUAACACAUUAAGUGCCCCACCUGGGGACUACGGCCGCAAGGCUAAA